CGAAAAAACAACAUACAAAUGGGCAACGCAUAUUGAGAUUAGUUUUAAACUCAGAUAUAUGGAUGCUGUGUACUGUAGGUUGUAAUGUAGAAUAUAACAGGUUAAGCAUGUUGAUAAGGUGAAAAACGAAAAAAAAAAAAAACGGAGGAUGAUUAGGGGGCUUGGGUGGCAUUGAAACAGAAAUGUUGGAAAAGCCAGAGAGGUAGGAGAAAUUUAGGUUGGAAGACUGCACCUACAUUUUUAAUGCAGUGUUUAUGGUUGGCACAUUAAUAGAGCUUUUAUUGGCAAUGAAAAAGAAGUAGACACGAAAUAAAGUGGGGUCUUUUCUGAGAACUUUUGUUCUUAUGGUUUCUAGGGAUGCUUUCUUCCCUAAUUCUUGUACUUAGAAGAUUGUUAGGCAUUUUAAACUUUUAUGUGGUAGUGUUAUUUUACACAUUUGCUAUAGGCUUUUCCUUUAUGUACAUUUGGUGUUUGUAGUAUUCUCCUUCCACCCUAGACAAUAAAGAGAGAAGAAGAUGAAGAUGGCAUCAAUCAAGUAGAAAGGACAUAUUUCUCAGUUGGUUGAAUUAGGUGCAACAUGGACCUAUUAGUGCAUAUUUAAGGAAUAUAUAU
rnacentral:misc_RNA from 1 species